GCCAGGUGCAGUGGUGUACUCCUGUAAUCCCAGCAGCUUGGGAGGCUGAGGCAGGAGGAUUGAGAGUUCAAAAUUAACUUCAGCAAAAAGUGAGGCCCUAAGCAACUCAGUGAGACCCUGUCUCUA
rnacentral:sRNA from 1 species